rnacentral:rRNA from 1 species
AUCAGCCACACUGGGACUGAGACACGGCCCAGACUCCUACGGGAGGCAGCAGUGGGGAAUCUUGCGCAAUGGGCGAAAGCCUGACGCAGCAACGCCGCGUGCGGGAUGAAGGCCUUCGGGUUGUAAACCGCUUUCAGCAGGGAAGAAAUUGACGGUACCUGCAGAAGAAGCCCCGGCCAACUACGUGCCAGCAGCCGCGGUAACACGUAGGGGGCGAGCGUUGUCCGGAUUUAUUGGGCGGGUCGACGCGGCCG